rnacentral:rRNA from 1 species
UACGUAGGGGGCAAGCGUUGUCCGGAUUUAUUGGGCGUAAAGAGCGUGUAGGCGGUCCGGUAAGUCCGCUGUGAAAGUCGGGGGCUCAACCCUCGAAUGCCGGUGGAUACUGUCGGGCUAGAGUGCGGAAGAGGCGAGUGGAAUUCCUGGUGUAGCGGUGAAAUGCGCAGAUAUCAGGAGGAACACCUAUUGCGAAGGCAGCUCGCUGGGACGUGACUGACGCUGAGACGCGAAAGCGUGGGGAGCAAACAGG